AGUCCAGGAACCGCUUUUGCAUAACCUCAGUAGAUAAAGCAUGCUGAGGUCAUGUCAGAUCAUUUCAAGCUCUUCUGUGUCGAGCUGAGGAGCUGCUCUGUGCCCGGCUUACAGAACUGGAAGGGGGAGCCACCUUCCGCCUGAUGGAGGCUGGAGAACGGAUGGAACCUGGAUCCCUGGAGCCUGGGACACUACCUCGCUGCGGUUGGUGGUGGCCACAGACCAGUAGGAGGGCGGCUGGCAGCGGGAGCUUCUUCUGCCGGGCUGGAGGACUAGGAGAAGGGAGAGGGAACGCCACAUGCUGGAGGCUGGAGCCUGUGCCACCGUGGCUCACCUCGAUGUGGUUGGUGGCAGCUCGCCUUGCUGUGGUUGGUGGUGACGUCGGAGACUGCAGCUCGGCCACAGUGGUAGAAAUGUGUUGGGGUAGCUUUUGCUGUGUUGGGCACUUGCUCCCAUCUGCUUGCUUCUCUAGAAUCCACUGCCCUAGAAUGAGUAAUUUUUCUUAGAAGCAGAGUUGGAACCACUGAGGAAGCACAGUAGGUCACUAAAGAAGCAGUUCCUUGAAAAACUGAAUUUCUAUUGUCUCUGUCAGAAAAAAAUCAUUCAUUAGCAGGAGAAGAACAGCAAGAGAUCAAUCACAUAAUCUUGAGAAGGUCUAGCAUGGCGGAUGCUGCGGCUACUGGUCCAGGAAGCACAUUUUGAGAACCACUCAGCUAGAAGAUUAUUGCAUUCAUCCAGGUUCCUGCUGAAGUCUGAGGGGAAAAGGGGAUUCUGGAAGGCGGAGAAAUGGAUGGAUCCUGUGGAGAGGCCAGACAGCUUCCGAGCAGCUGAGAAAGAAGGAAGUCAGCCAAGGUCUGAAAGAAGAGAGAUAGAUGCUGGAGAGCAUUUAAAUGAAAAGAAUUUAACCAGAAGUAUCGGCAGAAGUAAAAGAAAAGCCAUGUUGGGGGAACCUAAAGAUUAGCCACAAAGGUUAAGGGAAAGGAGGGAGGAGAGGAGACGUUACUGCAGCCUGUGAAGGCCAGAGCAAGAGGCGUGGCCGUGGAAAGUGCAGGAAGUAUGGCUAUGGAGAGUGCUGGGGUGUGGCUGUGGUGGGUGCAGGAAGCGUGGCUGUGGAGCGGGUGUGGUUAUGGACGGAGUGUGGCUGUGGAGGGGGUGUGACUGUGGAGGGUGCUGAGUGUGGCUGUGGUGGGUGCUGGGGGUGUGGCUGUGGUAGGGGAGGUGUGGCUAUUGGAUAGUCACAGCUGUGGUGGGUGCAGGGGGCAAGGCUGUGGUGUAGGAAGUGUAGUGUGGCUAUUGAAUGGGGUGUAUAGCAGUGGUGAAUACAGGAGGCAUGGCCUUGGUGGGUACAGGAGGCAUGGCUAUAACACAGGAGGCAUGGCCUUGGUGGGUGCAGGAAGCAUAGCUGUGAUGCAAGAAGCAUGGCCUUGGUGAGUGCUGGAGUAUGUUCUCUAAAGACACUGUGAACACUAUUAGCCCAUACUGAACCACUGCUCCUGGAGAAAUACAGGGUUAGCUUCCACGCCUCUGAUCACUACAUUUUUGUCAUCCAACCAAUACAUAUUUUUGUUUUAUGUGUUUUUAUCUACAGACACCUUGUUUAAUAUACGUUUCUUACCAAUAGUUAACUGUAUGUAUUAUUCUUUAUAAUAAAACUCAAGCUGGGAAGA
rnacentral:lncRNA from 1 species